AUUCUCGCGGCUUCGUAGGGGUCCAGAACGAAACACGAAGGGCUGGUGACUGUUUGGUCACCAGCC
rnacentral:sRNA from 1 species